rnacentral:tRNA from 1 species
UCCUCCUUGGCUCAGUUGGCUAGAGCGUCCGACUGUUAUUUCCGUUUGGGACAUCAUAUCGGGAGGUCGAUAGUUCGAACCUAUCAGGAGGAG